AAUAGAAGUUCCUUGGGCCAGCUGAAACGAUGGGAGAGAAAAAAACAGGAACAACUUAUUCAGGGUAGCGGGCAUCCAGAACAACAAACAGAUGCAUACUCGACAAGUAGGUCCGCAGAAUAAAUCUCUGCGUAAGAGAGAUUUAUCGAUCAAAGAGGCUACCCAUACCAAACGGAGGCGCACAUGCAACACAAACAACGUCCACAAUAUUGAUGACUCAGAUAGUCCGGUAAAUACCUAAACAUAUUAUUCAUAGGCCCAGGCAGCUGGGAGCAUCUAAUUGAUUGUAUAUCAAUGUACAAGUUGGUUCAUGCAUUCUGGUGCAGGGGAGUUCAAACAUUCCGAGCUACGACGCAUCCAUGGGGCCCAUA